ACUCUGCAGGAGGAGCUGGACGAGCUGAAGGGAGGGGGCUCCCUGCCUUAGCAGCCUGCUGCCCCCAGCCGAGUUUGGUGGCAGCAGUGGGAUCCAAAGGAGACGCCUGAUGGCUUCGAGGAUGAGAAACAGUCAUUGGUACCCGCAAAACCUUUGAGUUCUCCAUCUUUUUCGCUGUUUCUGAGGGCUGUGGCGUCAGCUGCAGAGCUCCAGCCAGCGGCAGAAGAAGAGCAGUGGGCAGUGGUGGAGGUAGAGCUGGCUCCAGCUCUGUUGACACCACCCCCUCUAGCACUGGAGCCAGUGUCCCCUCCACCAGCAGUGUUGGAGGUGGAGCAAGGGCCAACAUGGGCUCCAGCAGGAGUGGGAGCUGCUUAGCUGGAGUCACCUGGACCAUCAUUUCUAGUGAGAAGUCCAUCUCCACCUGUGGCUCUUAAGGAGCGUGAGAAGCUUAAUCUCACGGCCUUCCUUCCUAAGCUGGUGGUGGAGCAGUUGACCAUGAUGGAUGCGGCUCCACCCUUUACCAACCAUAAGACCUGGGCAACUUUCUGAACACCCAAGACUUUGCUGUCCACCUGCAGACCGUGGAGGUGGACAUUAAGAGGAUCUGCUACACAGAGUGACUGUGCCAACUCCAUGAGGAGCUCUUCCAGAAGGUGGUGCCCUCUCCUUGCCUGGGCUCCACCUGGGGCAAGAGGAACAAGCCGGGCAAUGAGCACCAGACACCCAACAUCCAGGCCACCGUCGACCAAGUCAGAAGGGUGGCCAGCUUCGUCAUCACGCCCUGCCUCGGGGACCCGAGCAUGACAGCCCAGGACAGGGUGAGGGUGGUGGAGCGCUGGAUCCAGGUGGCCCAGGUGUGCUGUGGGAGGCCCAGUGGAGCCCCUCUCUGAAGCCUUGGGAACUGCCUCUCCACCUUUAUCAGCUCCCAGGAUUGCAGUAUGUGGUCUAAGCCCCUGCACAGUCCCUAGGCCCUUCCUGCCAGGGGCCCGCUGACUUUAACUCCAGGUCCCAGUGAGAGGAUGCUCACUUCCUACCUGGCUCCUUCCCUGGGUUGAGCUAAAAUCCUGCUCCCUGUGAGUGUUACUCUUUGGGUCCUAAAUGUGCCCUUCUGCGACUCCCUGAGCAUCUGUCUCAUCCAGGAGGGGAGAUUUAAAUAGAAGGGUACUGAAGCUAGAGCAAGCUGGGCUA